rnacentral:rRNA from 1 species
AGUCGAGCGCGGGAAGCAAGCAGAUCUCCUUCGGGAGUGACGCUUGUGGAACGAGCGGCGGACGGGUGAGUAACACGUGGGCAACCUACCUGUAAGACUGGGAUAACUCCGGGAAACCGGGGCUAAUACCGGAUGAAACAAAGCGUCGCAUGACGCAAUGUUAAAAGGCGGCAUAUGCUGUCACUUACAGAUGGGCCCGCGGCGCAUUAGCUAGUUGGUGAGGUAAAGGCUCACCAAGGCAACGAUGCGUAGCCGACCUGAGAGGGUGAUCGGCCACACUGGGACUGAGACACGGCCCAGACUCCUACGGGAGGCAGCAGUAGGGAAUCUUCCGCAAUGGACGAAAGUCUGACGGAGCAACGCCGCGUGAGUGAUGAAGGUUUUCGGAUCGUAAAACUCUGUUGUUAGGGAAGAACAAGUGCCAUUCAAAUAGGUUGGCACCUUGACGGUACCUAACCAGAAAGCCCCGGCUAACUACGUGCCAGCAGCCGCGGUAAUACGUAGGGGGCAAGCGUUGUCCGGAAUUAUUGGGCGUAAAGCGCGCGCAGGCGGUCCUUUAAGUCUGAUGUGAAAGCCCACGGCUUAACCGUGGAGGGCCAUUGGAAACUGGAGGACUUGAGUACAGAAGAGGAGAGUGGAAUUCCACGUGUAGCGGUGAAAUGCGUAGAGAUGUGGAGGAACACCAGUGGCGAAGGCGACUCUCUGGUCUGUAACUGACGCUGAGGUGCGAAAGCGUGGGUAGCGAACAGGAUUAGAUACCCUGGUAGUCC